UACGUAGGGGGCUAGCGUUGUCCGGAAUCAUUGGGCGUAAAGCGCGUGUAGGCGGCUCGGUAAGUCCGCUGUGAAAGUCGGGGGCUCAACCCUCGGAUGCCGGUGGAUACUGUCGGGCUAGAGUACGGAAGAGGCGAGUGGAAUUCCUGGUGUAGCGGUGAAAUGCGCAGAUAUCAGGAGGAACACCGGUGGCGAAGGCGGGUCUCUGGGCCGAUACUGACGCUGAGGAGCGAAAGCGUGGGGAGCGAACAGG
rnacentral:rRNA from 1 species